UGAGUCGACAUAGCGUGCUUAUGCAAUCGAUGUAGAGUCGGAGUUGGGGGUCGGCUGACUUAUCCAAACAGUUGCCUCUCACUCUCAAGUCCAAGGUGGCUUGACGUGUAUUUCAUCACGUGGCCUGUCACAUUGGACGAAGGGAGUUGUCACAUAUCACCUCUAGCUCUGACUUGAUUGUAAGUCACUUGAGUACGAGGGUUCUUCGACGGUUUUGUCAUUUCUAUAGCUGUAGAACUAUCAUUAGACUGUCAUAUUGACA
rnacentral:lncRNA from 1 species